GAGAUAGCUCAGCCGAUAAGAGUGUGAGAUUCUUAACCUCAAGGUCGUGAGUUCGAGCCCCACGUUGGACCA